rnacentral:rRNA from 1 species
UCCCAGACUCCUACGGGAGGCAGCAGUGGGGAAUAUUGCACAAUGGGGGAAACCCUGAUGCAGCGACGCCGCGUGAGUGAAGAAGUACUUCGUUAUGUAAAGCUCUAUCAGCAGGGAAGAAAAUGACGGUACUUGAAGAAGAAGCCCCGGCUAACUACGUGCCAGCAGCCGCGGUAAUACGUAGGGGGCAAGCGUUAUCCGGAUUCACUGGGUGUAAAGGGAGCGUAGACGGCGACGCAAGUCUGGAGUGAAAGCCCGGGGCCCAACCCCGGGACUGCUCUGGAAACUGCGUCGCUGGAGUACGGGAGGGGCAGGCGGAAUUCCUAGUGUAGCGGUGAAAUGCGUAGAUAUUAGGAGGAACACCAGUGGCGAAGGCGGCCUGCUGGACGAUGACUGACGCUGAGGCUCGAAAGCGUGGGGAGCAAACAGGAUUAGAUACCCGGGUAAC